GAACGAGGUCUCGCCUUCGGGUGAAUCGCCUAGUGGCAGACGGCUGAGUAACACGUGGGUAACCUGCCCUCGAGUCUGGGAUAACUGCAAGAAAUCGCAGCUAAUACCGGAUACACUCCUUCGGCGAGAGUCGGGGGAGGAAAGAUUUAUCGCUCUUGGAUGGGCCUGCGUCCUAUCAGGUAGUUGGUGUGGUAACGGCACACCAAGCCAAAAACGGGUAGCUGGUGUGAGAGCAUGACCAGCCAGAGGGGGACUGAGACACGGCCCCCACUCCUCCGGGAGGCAGCAGCAAGGAAUCGUGCACAAUGGGCGAAAGCCUGAUGCCGCCACGCCGCGUGAGGGAUGACGGCUUUCGAGUUGUAAACCUCUUUUCUCAGGGAAGAGUAAGGACGUUACCUGAGGAAUAAGCCACGGCUAACUACGUGCCAGCAGCAGCGGUAACACGUAGGUGGCAAGCGUUGUCCGGAAUUACUGGGCGUAAAGGGUCCGUAGGCGGUCGGAUAAGUCUCCUGUGAAAUCUCCACGCUCAACGUGGAACAGUCGGGAGAUACUGUCGGACUAGAGACUGUCAGAGGCAGGUGGAAUUCCCGGAGUAGUGGUGAAAUACGUAGAUAUCGGGAGGAACACCAGUGGCGAAAGCGGCCUGCUGGGGCAGUUCUGACGCUGAGGGACUAAAGCGUGGGGAGCGAACCGGAUUAGAUACCCGGGUAGUCCACGCCCUAAACGAUGAAUGCUGGGUCUUCGGGGUGUUGAUGCCUUGAGGGCCGAAGGUAACCCGUUAAGCAUUCCGCCUGGGGACUACGGCCGCAAGGCUAAAACUCAAAGGAAUUGACGGGUCCCCGCACAAGCAGCGGAGCGUGUGGUUUUAAUUCGAUGGUAAGCGAAGAA
rnacentral:rRNA from 1 species